rnacentral:rRNA from 1 species
UACGAAGGGGGCUAGCGUUGCUCGGAAUCACUGGGCGUAAAGCGCACGUAGGCGGCUUUCUAAGUCAGGGGUGAAAUCCUGGAGCUCAACUCCAGAACUGCCUUUGAUACUGGAGAGCUCGAGUCCGGAAGAGGUGAGUGGAACUCCGAGUGUAGAGGUGAAAUUCGUAGAUAUCAAGAGGAACACCUGAGGUGAAGACGGGUUGCUAGGCUGACACUGACGCUGAGGCGCGAAAGCCAGGGGAGCAAACGGG